CGAGCUUACAGGUGUUAUUGCUUCUUCCUGAUAAGAAGCCCAACCGUGACGUCAGAUCGGCGCAGGUAGAGUAUAUGAGACGGCACGGAGAGAUAUCCACGUCACUCGUUCUUGAACCUCUUCGUUCGUUUGUUCUGUAAAGUUGUUCAACGGUUUUCGUAUUUCUCUCCGCUCCUUUUUCUCCCCUUUUCGCCAUCACGUUUCCGCUCAUAUCCCACCGGUCUGUCGCGACAGAGACGUGCCAGCGAGAGUCAGUCCUUUGGACGGGAUGCAUAUACGUCCAUCCGGAAGUCCAUCGCGAGCGGGUGUGUUACGGUACCAUAAUGGAGAACAGCGAUCAGACUGGAACUUAAGCUGAAAGGAUAAAAAAGAAGAAAAAGGAAGUGUUAACGACUCGUGGCACGAGUUAACGCACGGAGGUUAUGUUUACCGCGCAAUCAGGUGUUGGCGCUAAAGAGGAAGAGGCUACUCACACCUUCCCGAUAACAAGCAGAGUUGCUACGCUCCACCACGGCGACAAUUUCUACCUUUCAGUAUAUCCUUUCCUGUAACCGAUCCCCUUUCCGUUAACGCUUCAAACUUCGAUCUAUAGAAAGAUUUCGAAGUAAAUAUUCCUCUCGACGAAUGUUACGCGCCGAGUACGGCCAUAAUGGCGCGAAAAUUAUUGACCAUAUUUGAAUUUGAACCGACGUAGCGAUACUUCUAGCUAACGGUACAACUACUCGAUCCGAAAGAAGAACUCACUUUGUUAAAAUUAAUCCGCGAUUCUUCGUGUAAAUUAUGGCGCACUGAUUAUUUAUUCGACUGUCAAUAUAUUUGUAAACUGAUGUACGAUUAAUGAACUUAAUGAUAGGCUUGCAUUUUAUAAAAUUGUUUCAGCACUGGGACAACAGUUGAUGUCGUCGGCACUGGGUACAAACAGUCAGCAGAUAAUUAUUUUCGAUGCUUUUGAAGGCAUGCACUAUGAAGAGAGCUAUCCAUCGACAGUAUGGUGAUGAUAGACACUGUCAUGGAGUUGCUCUCUUUGUCGAUACUGCCAAAUUCAACGUUCUCCACGACUUCGGUCAUCAUCGUAUUACAUUUACUUCUUUCAAUCAGUUUUAUCGAACGAAGAUUGUAUGCAAUAAAGUAUUUAGAUACCCUUA